rnacentral:rRNA from 1 species
GACGAACGCUGGCGGCGUGCUUAACACAUGCAAGUCGAACGGUAAGGCCCUUCGGGGUACACGAGAGGCGAACGGGUGAGUAACACGUGGGUGAUCUGCCCUGCACUUCGGGAUAAGCCUGGGAAACUGGGUCUAAUACCGGAUAGGACCACUGCCUGCAUGGGUGGUGGUGGAAAGCUUUUGCGGUGUGGGAUGGGCCCGCGGCCUAUCAGCUUGUUGGUGGGGUGACAGCCUACCAAGGCGACGACGGGUAGCCGGCCUGAGAGGGGGACCGGCCCGACUGGGACUGAGAUACGGCCCGGACCCCUACGGGAGGCAGCAGUGGGGAAUAUUGCACAAUGGCGCAAGCCGGAUGCAGCGGCGCCGCGUGAGGGAUGACGGCCUUCGGGUUGUAAACAUCUUUCAGCACCGACGAAGCGCAAGUGACGGUAGGUGCAGAAGAAGGACCGGCCAACUACGUGCCAGCCGCCGCCGUAA